rnacentral:snRNA from 1 species
UGUGUUCGACAUCUCCUCGGUUGCGCACAAAUCUUUCGCCUUUUACUAAAGAUUUCCUUGUGGAGGCGCAACACAAUGGGUUUGUAGAUCCAUUUUUGGGCUGCCCCGACUCUUGUCUUUUCCAGUUC